UUCCAAAUUUAAUUACUCUGUUAGUGUUAUUAGAUAUAUACUCUGUACCCUAAAAAUUAUAAUUAUGUUUGGCCGUGGAUUUCUAUGGUGGAAAUCGCGAAGCUAAGAAACAAUAAAAGAAAAAAAAGCUGUUCAUCUCACCUCCAUCGUUCUCUCUCUCUCUCUCUUGUCUCUGCCUCUUAUCUCUGUUCUGCUACCCAUCAGCUUCUCCCAAAGAGAAAGAGGACGGGACGGAGAGGGGGAGAAGUGAAGGGCGUGAAAGCGUUACUCCGGCGGCGCACGGUAGCACCGUGCCCCUUUUCCAACGCCGUAGUUCAUUUUCCACCGAUUCCUUUGUACUAUUUCUUUCCUAACAGAGGUCGCUUCCUUCCCACGGCAAAUUCCUCUUUGACACAGAGCCAAGAAAGAAAUCGAUUCUGUACUUGGCUUCUUACUCCAUAUUUGUUCAUUUUACCCUUUUGAACUCUGGCGGACCUAAAAGGAACCCUAUCGUUCCUUCGAUCCUCCCUCUCUAUAAUCUUAGCAGAUCGCUUCGAUUUCAAAUCUAAAAAAAAAAAGAGGAGAGGGAUUUACGGUAUUAAGAUGCUUUGGAUAAUGCGAUUUUCAGGGUUCUUUUCCGCUGCAAUGGUGAUGAUUGUUCUUUCUCCUUCACUCCAGUCAUUUCCUCCAGCUGAAGCCAUUAGAUCCUCUCACCUCGACAGCUACCUCCGGUUACCGUCAUAUCAGUUGUCCACUUCACCACACUCACUGGAGGACCGCUUCUCUUUUCGAAAAGCCUCCGAAUUUCGCAAUGCGGAUGAAUGUGGCUUCACCGGCCACAAAAUCACCGGCGUUUGCGAUCCUUCUUUAGUCCAUGUGGCUAUUACGCUCGAUGUCGAGUACCUCCGUGGCUCAAUCGCCGCCGUGCACUCCAUUCUCCAGCAUUCUUUGUGUCCGGAGAACAUUUUCUUCCAUUUCCUUGUCUCAGAGACCAAUCUGGAAACCCUGGUUCGAUCCACGUUCCCUCAAUUGAAGUUCAAGGUUUAUUAUUUCGAUCCUGAGAUUGUACGGAACUUAAUAUCUUCUUCCGUUAGGCAAGCGCUUGAACAGCCGUUAAAUUAUGCUAGAAAUUACUUAGCCGAUCUGCUGGAGCCGUGCGUACGGAGAGUGAUUUAUUUGGACUCUGAUCUAGUCGUUGUUGACGAUAUCUCUAAGCUGUGGAGUACCAACUUGGGUUCACGAACAAUCGGGGCACCGGAAUACUGCCACGCCAACUUCACAAAAUAUUUCACGGGCGGUUUCUGGUCGGACCAACGGCUUUCGGGGACGUUCAAUGGUAGGAAGCCGUGCUAUUUUAACACGGGGGUGAUGGUGAUAGAUCUGGUUAAGUGGAGGCGGGUCGGGUACACGAAGCGGAUCGAGAGGUGGAUGGAGAUCCAGAAAAGUGACCGGAUCUACGAGCUUGGCUCGUUGCCGCCGUUCUUGUUGGUUUUUGCGGGACGCGUGGCACCCAUCGAGCAUAGAUGGAACCAGCAUGGGCUGGGUGGGGACAAUGUGAGGGGAAGUUGUCGGGACUUGCACCCCGGUCCAGUUAGCCUCUUGCAUUGGUCCGGUAGCGGUAAGCCGUGGCUUAGACUGGAUUCGAAAAAGCCGUGUCCACUCGACGCUUUAUGGGCGCCUUAUGACUUGUACGGACACUCAGAAUGAAAUCACAGCAGGCAUAGUCGCCGGUUAUAGUGGAGGGCGAUCGCUGGAUCACAUGGAUUUUUCUUUCUUAGACAGGAUGGUACGGUGGUAGGCCAUUUUGGCAAAAAUAUGGUGCAGUGUUAUAGGUGGAGUGCCAUGAGCAAAGAAGUGGACUUGGAAGGGGGCAUGUGAGCUUUAAUUGCCAGUUGGUUGUCCAUUUACAAAAUAUGGCCAAAAGGGACCGAAUUUAGGGGGUGCGGUACCGGCUGGAGAAGUAAUUUAGACAUUGGAAGAAUCUAAAAGAGUUUUGGAUUGCCACUUACUUCAUUGAGACUGUAAAUUCUUUUUUUUUUUUUGGUGGCAUUGUGCUUGGUGGCAGCGGCGGAAGACUUGUGAGCUACCUCCCCACACUGUCCCUUGCGCACUUGGGUGGCAAUCACAUAUUCUCCCUUUGGCGUCAGAUUUGUGUGUUGCAAUUUCCUGGUAAUUUUUAUUAUUUUUUAAUACUUCAAAUAAAAGGAUACAUACAUACUUCUAUUAUUAUAAUAAUUGUAUUAUCCACCGAAUAAAUUUAUGGCAAUGAUUAGUGGCAA